rnacentral:rRNA from 1 species
AUUGAACGCUGGCGGCAGGCUUAACACAUGCAAGUCGAGCGAGCGGCGGACGGGUGAGUAAUGUAUGGGAAACUGCCUGAUGGAGGGGGACAACUACUGGAAACGGUAGCUAAUACCGCAUACCUUCAGUUGCGCCAUGAUUGGAUUAGUUAGUAGGUGGGGUAAUGGCUCACCCGGGCGACGAUCCCUAGCUGGUCUGAGAGGAUGACCAGCCACACUGGAACUGAGACACGGUCCAGACUCCUACGGGAGGCAGCAGUGGGGAAUAUUGCACAAUGGGCGCAAGCCUGAUGCAGCCAUGCCGCGUGUGUGAAGAAGGCCUUCGGGUUGUAAAGCACUUUCAGCGAGGAGGCGUUACUCGCAGAAGAAGCACCGGCUAACUCCGUGCCAGCAGCCGCGGUAAUAC